rnacentral:rRNA from 1 species
ACGAACGCUGGCGGCGUGCUUCACCCAUGCAAGUCGUACGAUGACCCGGCUCUUCGGAGCUGGUGAUUAGUGGCGAACGGGUGAGUAACACGUGGGUGACCUGCCCUGCACUCUGGGAUAAGCCCGGGAAACUGGGUCUAAUACUGGAUACGACCAGUGGCCGCAUGGUCUGCUGGUGGAAAGCCCUUCGGGGUGGUGUGGGAUGGGCCCGCGGCCUAUCAGCUUGUUGGUGGGGUGAUGGCCUACCAAGGCGACGACGGGUAGCCGGCCUGAGAGGGUGUCCGGCGACACUGAGACUGGGACAAGGCCCAGACGCCUACGGGAGGCAGCAGUGGGGAAUCUUGCACAAUGGGCGAAAGCCUGAUGCAGCGACGCCGCGUGAGGGAUGACGGCCUUCGGGUUGUAAACCUCUUUCGGAAGGGAACAGGCCUGGGGGUUUUCUUCUGGGUGAGGGUACCUGCGGAAGAAGCACCGGCUAACUACGUG